rnacentral:rRNA from 1 species
UACGUAGGGGGCUAGCGUUGUCCGGAAUCAUUGGGCGUAAAGCGCGUGUAGGCGGUCCGGUAAGUCCGCUGUGAAAGUCGGGGGCUCAACCCUCGGAUGCCGGUGGAUACUGUCGGGCUUGAGUACGGAAGAGGCGAGUGGAAUUCCAGGUGUAGCGGUGAAAUGCGCAGAUAUCAGGAGGAACACCAAUUGCGAAGGCAGCUCGCUGGGACGUUACUGACGCUGAGACGCGAAAGCGUGGGGAGCAAACAGG